GGGGGGGGGGGGGGGGGGGGCAGCCCAGAGGCCAGGCUGUUCCCCUGGCAGCUCUGUGCCAGUGGCUCAGGGUGUGCCCCUGGCCUGCCUCAAGGGGCUGCUGGCAGGAGCACAUUUCCCUGUGCAGCUAUUUAGAAGUUCCCAGGAAGUCUGUACAGUGAAAUAUAGUGCUCCAGAUGCCUUAGGAUUUCAUUGCAGCCUCUGUUUUUUUUUUUGUCUCCACAUUGCAGGCCUGACCAGGUUCAUAUUUUCCAAGUUGGUGCGGCCAUCUCCCUGCAUGCUCCUGCCAUCUAAACUGCUGCCUCCCAUCCGGAAGAGCUCUCCUGCUUCUAACACAAAUAAAAUCUUCAGUGUGGAGCAAGAGAAUGGGAAAAAAGACACCGGUGACAAUGGUAGCAGAAACAAGCAGGAGCUGUGUUCAGAGGGAAAAAUAUGUCAGGCUUCCUUGCUGUAUGCCACAGAAGGGGAUGUGAAGAAGGGGUCACUGGGACCCCCUCUGAUCCCCCCUACACGCAAGGCAGUCAGUCCCGUUGUUGGCAGUGCUGCAGGGUCUCUGCACAGCUCUCUGCAGCUGCAUGUCCAAGAGUCCCAGGAGAUGAGGCCAAGAUGCAGCAGCAGAAGCAAAGAGGAGGACCCUGAACAUGGAGGUAGGUACAGGGCAUGUGUGUCCCAAAAUGAUCAUUGGAAUCUUGAUGCAGAGAUGGCAUUUUGAAAGCUUGGUUAAAAACCAUUCUUUUCAAAAUCUCUUCUCAUUGGUUUCAAUUCCUUGAUGGGCUCAAUGGACUCUCCC
rnacentral:lncRNA from 12 species